CAGCAGCCGCGGGAAUACGUAGGGUGCGAGCGUUAAUCGGAAUUACUGGGCGUAAAGCGUGCGCAGGCGGUUAUAUAAGACAGAUGUGAUAUCCCCGGGCUCAACCUGGGACCUGCAUUUGUGACUGUAUAGCUAGAGUACGGUAGAGGGGGAUGGAAUUCCGCGUGUAGCAGUGAAAUGCGUAGAUAUGCGGAGGAACACCGAUGGCGAAGGCAAUCCCCUGGACCUGUACUGACGCUCAUGCACGAAAGCGUGGGGAGCAAACAGGAUUAGAUACCCGGGUAGUCCCUGUCUCUUAUAC
rnacentral:rRNA from 1 species